rnacentral:lncRNA from 1 species
UUGGAUUUUUCAAGAUUUUAAUUUUAUCAUCAAAUCUUUUAAUUUAUUUGAUUUGAGUUCGUCAACGAUACUUUAAUUAUAAACUUUGAAUACGUCGUUUAUCUUUAUAUAUUUAAUUAGUAUAUUUAAUAUAAUUUUUACAACUAUAAAUUUAUUAAAAUAAAUAAUUAAUUUAAAUUUUAAAGUUAAAAUAUUAUUGAUUGAUUCAAAUUAAAUAUAUUGAAAGAUUCAGAGUAAAAUUAAAAUUAAAAAAAAUCAGAUAGCUAAUUUAAGAUCGUCGAAAGAGUAGGUAAGUUAUG